rnacentral:rRNA from 1 species
GAACCUGCGGAAGGAUCAUUACCGAGUGCGGGUCCUUUGGGCCCAACCUCCCAUCCGUGUCUAUUGUACCCUGUUGCUUCGGCGGGCCCGCCGCUUGUCGGCCGCCGGGGGGGCGUCUCUGCCCCCCGGGCCCGUGCCCGCCGGAGACCCCAACACGAACACUGUCUGAAAGCGUGCAGUCUGAGUUGAUUGAAUGCAAUCAGUUAAAACUUUCAACAAUGGAUCUCUUGGUUCCGGCAUCGAUGAAGAACGCAGCGAAAUGCGAUAACUAAUGUGAAUUGCAGAAUUCAGUGAAUCAUCGAGUCUUUGAACGCACAUUGCGCCCCCUGGUAUUCCGGGGGGCAUGCCUGUCCGAGCGUCAUUGCUGCCCUCAAGCCCGGCUUGUGUGUUGGGUCGCCGUCCCCCUCUCCGGGGGGACGGGCCCGAAAGGCAGCGGCGGCACCGCGUCCGAUCCUCGAGCGUAUGGGGCUUUGUCACAUGCUCUGUAGGAUUGGCCGGCGCCUGCCGACGUUUUCCAACCAUUCUUUCCAGG